UUUGUUCUUUUUUAUGACUGAGUGGUACCUAUGAACCUUUAAAUCAGGUGGAUUACUCCCUUUAAUUGGCAAGUUUUCUCAUCUAUCACUAUUUGUUACGGAAAAUAAAGCAUACUUUUCUUAUGUAAC